UGUUCGUUAUUUAGGGCGCAUGGUGGAUGCCUUGGCAUGCUGAGCCGAUGAAGGACGUGAAAGGCUGCGUUAAGCCUCGGGGAGUUGUCAAUUGAGCGUUGAUCCGAGGAUGUCCGAAUGGGGAAACCUGGCACCUGUUAUGGGGUGUUACCCUUCAGUGAAUUCAUAGCUGUUGUGGGGGUUACGCGGGGAAGUGAAACAUCUCAGUACCCGUAGGAAGAGAAAAUAAUAAUGAUUCUGCUAGUAGUGGCGAACGAACGUGGAUGAGGCUAAACCGUGUGCAUGUGAUACCUGGUAGGGGUUGUGUGUGCGGUGUUGUGGGCCCUGAUGAGGAUGGCUACUGACGUCCUGCCCGCGCAUUGUUGUUAGGUGAAGUGGUGUGGAAACGCCUGCCGUAGAAGGUGAUAGUCCUGUAGCUGAAGAUGAUGGUGUGUGGGUUGUUGGGUUGCCCGAGUAGCAGCGGGCUCGUGGAAUCUGCUGUGAAUCUGCCGGGACCACCCGGUAAGCCUAAAUACUCAGUGUGACCGAUAGUGGAUAGUACCGUGAGGGAAUGGUGAAAAGUACCCCGGGAGGGGAGUGAAAUAGUUCCUGAAACCAUGUGCUUACAAUCCGUCAGAGCACUUUUUGUGUGUGAUGGCGUGCCUUUUGAAGAAUGAGCCUGCGAGUCAGCGGCAUGUCGCGAGGUUAACCCGUGUGGGGUAGCCGUAGGGAAACCGAAUCCUAAUGGGGUGUCAAGUGGCAUGUCCUGGACCCGAAGCGGGGUGAUCUACCCAUGGCCAGUGUGAAGCAGCAGUAAGAUGCUGUGGAGGCGCGAACCCACGUAGGUUGAAAACUGCGGGGAUGAGCUGUGGGUAGGGGUGAAAGGCCAAUCAAACUCCGUGAUAGCUGGUUCUCCCCGAAAUGCAUUUAGGUGCAGCGUCGCAUUAGCUUGGUGGAGGUAGAGCUACUGGUUGGUUGAGCGGGACUACAAUCUUAGCAAUGUCAGCCAAACUCCGAAUGCCAUUAAUGUGUUGUGCGGCAGUGAGACUGUGGGGGAUAAGCUUCAUAGUCGAGAGGGAAACAGCCCAGAUCGCCGGUUAAGGCCCCUAAGGGUGUGCUAAGUGGAAAAGGAUGUGGGAUCGCGAAGACAGCCAGGAGGUUGGCUUAGAAGCAGCCAUCCUUGAAAGAGUGCGUAAUAGCUCACUGGUCGAGUGGUUCUGCGCCGACAAUGUAGUGGGGCUCAAGCACACCGCCGAAGCCGCGGCAAUAAUAUUUUGUUAUUGGGUAGGGGAGCGUCGUGCACGUGUUGAAGCGUUACCGUGAGGAGGCGUGGAGUGUGUGCGAGUGAGAAUGCAGGCAUGAGUAACGAAUUGGAAGGUGAGAAUCCUUCCCGCCGGAUGACUAAGGGUUCCUGGGUCAAGUUCGUCUUCCCAGGGUGAGUCGGGACCUAAGGCGAGGCCGACAGGCGUAGUCGAUGGAUAAC
rnacentral:rRNA from 1 species